UACAGAGGGUGCGAGCGUUAAUCGGAAUUACUGGGCGUAAAGCGUGCGUAGACGGUUAUUUAAGUCGGAUGUGAAAGCCCCGGGCUCAACCUGGGAAUUGCAUUCGAGACUGAAUAGCUAGGGUACGGUAGAGGGAAGUGGAAUUUCCGGUGUAGCGGUGAACUGCGUAGAUAUCGGAAGGAACAUCAGUGGCGAAAGCGACUUCCUGGACCAGUACCGACGUUCAGGCACGAAAGCGUGGGGAGCAAACAGG
rnacentral:rRNA from 1 species